AAGAUCAUACUUUCAGGGAUCAUUUCUAUAGUUUUUGACUUGAGAAAUAUCGUACGAAAGUGAUCGGUUACUCUAACCACGAUGAAGAGUAUUGAUGUUCCCUUCUGAGCGCGAAGCGGGUAGCGAGUAAUGAUUGAUUUCAUCCGCUCGUUGUCAUUGAUGACCGUUCCUUGCUCCCUCGUGGAGCCUGGAGGUAGGGAACAUGAUCAGAGUGGU
rnacentral:snoRNA from 1 species